rnacentral:rRNA from 1 species
CACUACCUCCCCUGUUGCGUCCUUGCCCUACCCGACGACUUAUUUAGUACGCCUAGGAAGAUAGAGCUCGUCGCCGUAGUAGACUUAGUCGGCGAAGUAAACGCCCAACGAAGGCGACAGUCGGUANCGUGGUCUGAGGAGGACGAUCACGCCACACGUAGGACUGAGACGACCGCCAGACUCCGUACGGGAGCAGCAGGAGGAUCGUCGACAGUGGGGCAACCCUGACCGAGCAACGCCGCGUGAGUGAAGAAGGUUUCGGAUCGUAAAGCUCUGUUGUAAGUCAAGAACGGGUGUGAGAGUGGAAAGUUCACACUGUGACGGUAGCUUACCAGAAAGGGACGGCUAACUACGUGCCAGCAGGUCGACGCGGCC